CGCAUCUGUGCAUGCAGCAUAUCAAUAAGCGGAGGAAAAGGAGUCAAUACCUACGCUUAGGAUGUUGAUAUGCAUGACUGAUAUAGUCUAUACAUGACUCUGCGCAUAUCAAUAAGCGGAGGAAAAGAAACUAACAAGGAUUCCCUUAGUAACGGCGAGUGAAGCGGGAAGAGCUCAAAUUUGAAAUCUUCAAGGUUUUACCUUGACGAAUUGUAGUUUAAAGAAGUGUUUUCUGUUGAGGUUUUGGUAAAAGUUCUUUGGAAUAGGACAUCAUAGAGGGUGAGAAUCCCGUAUUUGACCUUUACUUUCAACUUUGUGAUACACUUUCAAAGAGUCGGAUUGUUUGGGAAUGCAGUCCAAAAUGGGUGGUAAAUUUCAUCUAAAGCUAAAUAUUGGCGAGAGACCGAUAGCGAACAAGUACCGUGAGGGAAAGAUGAAAAGAACUUUGAAAGGAGAGUUAAACAGUACGUGAAAUUGUCAAAAGGGAAGCGUUUGACACCAGUGUUGUUUUUCUGAAAAUCAAUUAAAGAACUGUUUAUGCUAAGUUGUUUAGACUUUAUCAGCUAACUGUUUAGUUUUGAGCUUUUCUUUAAUGCACUUUUCAGUUAACAAGUCAACAUCAAUUUCUUUUGCUGUAAAAAAGCUUGAGGAAGGUGGCUUGGGAUUCGUCUUAAGUGUUUAUAGCCUCUUGCCUAUGCAGUCGGAGAGAUUGAGGUCUGCAGCGUAGAUCCUUCGGGGCUAAAUGCAUUUGUGCUAAGUUAUAGCAUUUUAUAGACAACUUGUUGACUAUGAUUUGUCUUGUAGCUUACUCGCUUAUGUUAUUUUACCUACGCUUAGGAUGUUGAUAUGCAUGACUGAUAU
rnacentral:rRNA from 1 species